UACACAAACGUUUCUGUCUUGAGAAAGGAUAAGAAACUGUUUGCAGCUGUUUGUUCGAACCAACUUUAUUUAAAAUAGCUCAAGGGGACACAAGAAGAUAAAUCCCAGCAGGGAUCCGUGUGUAAAAAGGCACACAAAAGGUGCACAGGGGAAUAACUAAGAUCUAGAGAGAGUGGAGCCAUGAGUCUAAAUGACUUUGUGGUGAUUUCCAACAAGCCCAAGUCAGUCAAGCUCAAUGCCAGGAACCUGCGAGAGCUGCGCAUGGAGACAGUGACGCUGGCCCAGGAGAGUAAAGACAUGGAGGAUCGACUGCAACAACUCAGAGAGAGCAUGAGCCGGGAGAAAGAGGAG